GUCCGGGUGGCGGAAAUGGCAGACGCGCUAGCUUGAGGUGCUAGUGCCCGUAUAGGGCGUGGGGGUUCAAGUCCCCCCUCGGACACCGGUU
rnacentral:tRNA from 1 species